ensembl:lncRNA
GCAGUAAACAGCAAGUGCACAGUGCAGCUUCUCUAAGCCUCUCUUCUCCUGUCUCAGGGAGAAAGGAGUUCUCCAAGCCCUAGAGCCUGAGUCACUCGCUGUGUGAGCAUGAAUUAACCAGGAAUGUUCGAGAAUUAUUCCUGAAUAAUUCAUGAACCUGAAUUAAUCAUGCAUUUUCAUGAAUUAUUCAUGAAUAACUCAUGGAAAUGCAAGGUUUAUUCAUGCUCCAAAAAACCCAAGGCUUUUCCCCUUCUCUUCUGCUUUCUCUCCCUGUAAGAAACAGACCUGAAACAAGCUAAGGAAAAAAAUAAUAUAUGUAUAUGGGAAAAGAACAGGAAUAAUAAUGCUGAAACAAAACAACCAGGACCAAAGAAUGCAAAAGCUCUUUCUUUCCUUUGCAGUGGGGACAGCAGGUGGGAGCUUUCCAAGCCAGACAAAGGAGACCUGACAAGGACCUGUGGUGAAGGGACAAGCACAAGGCAAGGAAGUGUCCGGUCACCUCCUCUGCUGGAACAGGCAGCAGAGACCUGGAGAGACAGGAGACAUCUUGCAAGACUCAACACCUGGAGCAGUGCUAACCAGGUUGUGCUGGCCUGGGUAAAGCACAUCUUGUGAACACUCCCACCCACAGGAGAGCCCAGACCCCUGUGGUGACAUUCCCACACUGUCCCUCUGCUCCAGGUGGGCAGCCCUGAUGUCAGCCAAGCUCUACGUGCUCAUCACUGGCCCGACGGCAGCCGGGUUAUCGACAUCGAGAACAUCAAGGAGCCCCGCAAGCCCUUCCACCUCUGCACUGUGGGGGAGCAGGUCCUGGCCCGCUGCCCUGGAUUCAGUGGGCUGUACUGGGGUGUGGUGGAAGGCAUAAGUGAGCACAAAGGUAUUUUGGAGAAGAAGCUGCUGGAAGAUCGACAGCUCCUGGAGAAGUUAAAAGAAGAACCAGCUGUCCACAGCAUGAUGCCAUCCCCACCAAAAAAAUCCAGGAAAACCUUUCCAAAAUGGACCUCAGGGAAUGCAUCCAGGAAAUACCCCAGUGACAGGAACUCUCCUGCAAAGCCACUGCUGAGGGUGGCUGAGGCCAGCCUGCCCCGUGAUGCCAGCAGCUCCUCCAUCAAGGACAGGCGUGUCCUGGGAAGCGUGGCAGGGAGUCCCUGCUCACUGGCAGCUCCCCCCCACCCAGCCAGUGCCUUCACACCUCCAUCCACCUUCAUCACCAUGGCCAUGCCAGGGCCAGGGACUUCCCAGAGUGAAGAGGACAGGGCUGGCCCAGCUGCCAGAGAUUAUGUUGCCCUUCCAAUGAAGAGGAAGCCAGAUGGCAUCUUGUCCCCGUGCCAACAGCAGAUCUGUCUGAACAGCCGUGAGGAGCGCAAGAUUGAUGCUUUGCAAGAGAUGGAUGGCUUUGAAAGGGCUCACAAAAAUGUCAGUCCUGGUGAGAUGGAAAGGGUGGAGAAGAUGGAGCAGCUGGAAAGGAUGGUGUUGGACCUCCAACAGGACGUCCUCUCUCUGAAGAAGAAGGUGCAGAGGCUGGAAUCCCUGUCCUUCCAGGAGGAGCCCCACCGACAGCCGUGUGAGGUGGUGGAGCUCUUCAACGGCUACACCAAGGAGCAGCUCAAAGAGACCAUCAGGUUUGACCAGAAAAUCAGCACAGCCUGCAAGACUCUGCUCUACAAACUCUUCACCUCUGACUACAUCCAGAGCCACUCCAUCACAGGGCGCAGGGGCAACACCUUCCGGGAGGCCAAGCCCAUGAUGGACGAACGCUGCAUCAAAAUCAUCCGGGUGCUGCUGAAGCAGAAGUUUGGGGAUCACCUCAGUGACACCGUGAUCACAGAGAAGAUCCAGAACGUGCAGAAAGCCCUGAGGCAGAAGUUUAAGACAGAAUGUCUCUGAGGAGUGGAGAAUUUGGUGUCUCCUCCUGCCAUUCCGUGUGUGUCCCUGAGCAGCCUUCCCAGGAGAGAUGAGCCGAGCAGCUGCUGCUCAGUAGAUUUCCCCCAGGGAGCCAGCCCAAGUAAACCACGUGCUGAACACAGCUCAAACACUGCCAAACCUCUGCCUCCAUUAACUGAGCAGGAACUGGGCCCAGCUUGGCUCGGUUUUUGCACUCUACAAGUUCCUUCCCAUCCAGUCUGUGUGAGAACCUCACUGUGGGUGCAUGGAAUCACCUCUACGACUCUGAUGGUGCUCAAAGGCUUCAGGGCUCCAUUUGAGUCCAAGAAUGGGUCAGAAAGGUAGCCUUGUUCCACACUGCAGAAAUGUUGGCUUUGGGAUGGGGAAUCCAGCUGCAGACAGCCUGUGUCACCCAAUGUGGCUUCUCUCUCUCUGCCUCUGGUUGCCUCAUUCUGCCUGUGGGACAAUAUUUACUCUUUCCUCACAGUGAAUGUUUUAUUUCCAUCACUAAAGAAAGGCAGACUCAUUAAAAUGACACCUUAAA